UACGAAGGGGGCUAGCGUUGCUCGGAAUCACUGGGCGUAAAGCGCACGUAGGCGGCUUAUUAAGUCAGGGGUGAAAUCCUGGAGCUCAACUCCAGAACUGCCUUUGAUACUGGCGAGCUUGAGUCCGGGAGAGGUGAGUGGAACUGCGAGUGUAGAGGUGAAAUUCGUAGAUAUUCGCAAGAACACCAGUGGCGAAGGCGGCUCACUGGCCCGGUACUGACGCUGAGGUGCGAAAGCGUGGGGAGCAAACAGG
rnacentral:rRNA from 1 species